UACGUAGGGGCGAGCGUUGUCCGGAUUUACUGGGCGUAAAGGGAGCGUAGGCGGACUUUUAAGUGAGAUGUGAAAUACCCGGGCUUAACUUGGGUGCUGCAUUUCAAACUGGAAGUCUAGAGUGCAGGAGAGGAGAAUGGAAUUCCUAGUGUAGCGGUGAAAUGCGUAGAGAUUAGGAAGAACACCAGUGGCGAAGGCGAUUCUCUGGACUGUAACUGACGCUGAGGCUCGAAAGCGUGGGGAGCAAACAGGAUUAGAUACCCGCGUAGUCCCU
rnacentral:rRNA from 1 species